GACGAACUGUCCUAACGUUGUUCGGAAUCACUGGGCUUAAAGGGCGCGUAGGCGGUCCGACAAGUCAGGGGUGAAAUCCUGCAGCUUAACUGUAGAAGUGCCUUUGAUACUGUCGGUCUUGAGGGAGAUAGGGGUGUGCGGAACUUCCAGUGGAGCGGUGAAAUGCGUUGAUAUUGGAAGGAACGCCGGAGGCGAAAGCGGCGCACUGGAUCUCUUCUGACGCUGAGGCGCGAAAGCUAGGGGAGCAAACGGG
rnacentral:rRNA from 1 species